GCAGCUCAUCAGUAAUGCUCGUGACUAAGAACCGGAGAAGGCGGAAGUACGUGAACUGUACAUGUGUGCAUUAUAGUAUCGGAGUGAAAAUAAGUUGUCAGUUUUUCCUUAUAAAUGGGUUGGUGUUUUCUGUUGGAAUUAAACACUCGUCAGUGCCUACAUUGAUUUUUAUCUAUUACGACAAGGACUUCUUUGUGUUGCACAAUACCGCGAUCAUGAGCCGCAUACGGUCGAAUGUAAUUAUUGGCUGUGCAGUGCUCCUGUUACUCUGUGGGUCAAUUCACUCGGGUAAGCCAGCCAAAACCAGCAACACAGGUGCAGCCGCCGUAAUGCCACACGAUAACGCCACCGACACCAACGCCGGCUCCGGGGAACUGAAAGCGAAACCGCAGCCACAAUCAGGUAACGGCACAUCCCACGGGAAUCCCGCUUCAGCACGCUUCGGUCUGACACCCCCUGUACUGAAAGGUUGAUAGAGAAGCUUAUUGGCAGUGUGAUUGAGUGACUAAGUCAACAGAGUGAUUGUGGUAGAUAUUGAUCAUUGAUUAUUGCGUGGGUUUUUUCUUUGCACUAUAGACUGUCUAAAUUUUUAUAGCAGUUGUUAUUAGGGGCCAGCGCUAACCCAAUUGGCUAAGGACCCCUAAAACUGUUUUUUGAGAAAAAAGCAAAAAACGAAAAGCAAACAAAA